UGGGUUGUAUAUUUAUGAGAGAAUGAAUAUUUCAUAAAUUACUUUGGACUUGGGUAUGAACUUGCAAUUAUUUUGAGUUUUAUGGCGUAUUUAUGUAGUUUUCCAAAAACAAAAGUUCACAUUACCCACUUUUCUCUUUCUAAAUUUUUCACCUAAUUCUAUCAUUAUCUUUCUCUCUCACGAUUUAUUCCAUUAUUUCAUAUUUUCAAGUAACUUAAACCCUGCCUUUUUAAAAUCAAAUUCCUCAAUUUUUCCAGGGAUCUCAUAAAUCAUGUAAAAGUUUUUCUACCUUUGUUGAAGUGAACUCAAUUGAUUUGUGAUUGUUUCCAUUAGGGAAGAAAAUUUUGAAAUAAUCAAUUGGGAUAUCGAAGUGAAUUCAACUGAUUUCGUUGAACUAUGAGAUUGUCGGUGAAAUACAAAAACAAUCAGAAGGACCCAAAGGAGAUGAAAGUGCAGAAUCACCAGCCAUAUUUUAAAGUAAAAAAAUAUACAAAUUUUUAAUUUGUAAUAUGUUUGGGAUACAAAUAGCUAGUGAAUGAUUGAAAUUUUUUGAUUUUUUUUUACGUCGUAUACUUGGAAUAGAAAAUAAUUUUAAAAUCUA